rnacentral:rRNA from 1 species
CAGCCGCCGCGGUAAUACCGGCGGCCCGAGUGGCGGUCACUAUUAUUGGGCUUAAAGCGUCCGUAGCCGGGUUGGGAAGUCCUCCGGGAAAUCUGGCCGCUUAACGGUCAGAAUGCCGGAGGAUACUCCCAGCCUAGGGACCGGGAGAGGCCGAGGGGAUUCCCGGAGUAGGGGUGAAAUCCUAUAAUCCCGUGAGGACCACCUGUGGCGAAGGCGCUCGGCUGGAACGCGUCCGACGGGGAGGGACGAAGGCCAGGGGAGCAAACCGGAUUAGAUACCCGGGUAGUCCUGGCUGUAAACGAUGCGGACUUUGUGUCGGACAAGCUAUGAGCUUGUCCGGUGCCGGAGGGAAACCGUUAAGUCCGCCGCCUGGGGAGUACGGCCGCAAGGCUGAAACUUAAAGGAAUUGGCGGG